rnacentral:rRNA from 1 species
UGGGGAAUAUUGGACAAUGGGGGGAACCCUGAUCCAGCCAUGCCGCGUGUGUGAAGAAGGCCUUAUGGUUGUAAAGCACUUUAAGCGAGGAGGAGGGUACUGGUAUUAAUACUACCAGGUACUGGACGUUACUCGCAGCAUAAGCACCGGCUAACUCUGUGCCAGCAGCCGCGGUAAUACAGAGGGUGCGAGCGUUAAUCGGAUUUACUGGGCGUAAAGCGUGCGUAGGCGGCUAAUUGAGUCGGAUGUGAAAUCCCCGAGCUUAACUUGGGAAUUGCAUUCGAUACUGGUUAGCUAGAGUGUGGGAGAGGAUGGAAGAAUUCCAGGUGUAGCGGUGAAAUGCGUAGAGAUCUGGAGGAAUACCGAUGGCGAAGGCAGCCAUCUGGCCUAACACUGACGCUGAGGUACGAAAGCAUGGGGAGCAAACAGG